GACAGAGGGGGCAAACGUUGCUCGGAAUCACUGGGCAUAAAGCGCGCGUAGGCGGCCAAGCAAGUGCGGUGUGAAAGCCCCCGGCACAACCGGGGAACUGCAUCACAUACUGCCUGGCUAGAGCUUGAGGGGGGAGAGUGGAACUCCUGGUGGAGCGGUGGAAUGCGUAGAUAUCAGGAGGAACGCCGGAGGUGAAGACGACUCUCUGGCUCAAUGCUGACGCUAAGGUCCGAAAGCUAGGGUAGCAAACGGG
rnacentral:rRNA from 1 species